rfam:Coprobacillus sp. CAG:698 genomic scaffold, scf34
UAUAAUAAAUCGAAGUUUAAUUGUAUAAAUUCGAUAAUAUGGUUCGAAAGUCUCUACCAUGUCACCAAUGUAACGACAUGACUACAAUGAAAUCUAAUUGGAAG